rnacentral:rRNA from 1 species
GAUGAACGCUGGCGGCGUGCCUAAUACAUGCAAGUCGAGCGAACAGACGAGGAGCUUGCUCCUCUGACGUUAGCGGCGGACGGGUGAGUAACACGUGGAUAACCUACCUAUAAAACUGGGAUAAAUUCGGGAAACCGGAGCUAAUACCGGAUAAUAUAUUGAACAGCAUGGUUCAAUAGUGAAAGACGGUUUUGCUGUCACUUAUAGAUGGAUCCGCGCCGCAUUAGCUAGUUGGUAAGGUAACGGCUUACCAAGGCAACGAUGCGUAGCCGACCUGAGAGGGUGAUCGGCCACACUGGAACUGAGACACGGUCCAGACUCCUACGGGAGGCAGCAGUAGGGAAUCUUCCGCAAUGGGCGAAAGCCUGACGGAGCAACGCCGCGUGAGUGAUGAAGGUCUUCGGAUCGUAAAACUCUGUUAUUAGGGAAGAACAAAUGUGUGAGUAACUAUGCACGUCUUGACGGUACCUAAUCAGAAAGCCACGGCUAACUACGUG